GUGGAUGUGAAAUAUGGAUAGCUCCACAUUUCAUAAAAAGUUUAUUUGUCAUUUGAGUUUAUUCAUGAUCAAAAAGGAAGAAAAGAAGGGUAGUCAACCAGGAUGUCUGCUUGACAAGAAAUGGAGUGUAGAAAUUUCUAGAGGGGACUGCUAGCAGGGGAGAAUGUUAACAGACCUUUCAGGAGCUGCAGUUUCCUUGUUGCCCAUUGAUGGAUCAAGAGCUAAUUCCCAAACUAUUUUCAAUCCAACCUGGUCUACCAGCUUUUCUACUUAUUUUCAAGGCUGAAAGUUUAAAAAGGAGGUCAGAGAAAACAUUCAAGAAAAUUUCAAUGAUAAUAAAAGUUUUAUUGAAGAACUGA
rnacentral:lncRNA from 1 species